AGUAAAAUGCCUGAAUAAAGGGUUAUCUUGAUAGGAUAAACUAUGUAUUUUAUACUUUUACUA
rnacentral:tRNA from 2 species